AGUGAACGCUGGCGGUAGGCCUAACACAUGCAAGUCGAACGGCAGCACAGUAAGAGCUUGCUCUUACGGGUGGCGAGUGGCGGACGGGUGAGGAAUACAUCGGAAUCUACUUUUUCGUGGGGGAUAACGUAGGGAAACUUACGCUAAUACCGCAUACGACCUACGGGUGAAAGCAGGGGAUCUUCGGACCUUGCGCGAUUGAAUGAGCCGAUGUCGGAUUAGCUAGUUGGCGGGGUAAAGGCCCACCAAGGCGACGAUCCGUAGCUGGUCUGAGAGGAUGAUCAGCCACACUGGAACUGAGGCACGGUCCAGACUCCUACGGGAGGCAGCAGUGGGGAAUAUUGGACAAUGGGCGCAAGCCUGAUCCAGCCAUACCGCGUGGGUGAAGAAGGCCUUCGGGUUGUAAAGCCCUUUUGUUGGGAAAGAAAAGCAGCAGGUUAAUACCCCGCUGUUCUGACGGUACCCAAAGAAUAAGCACCGGCUAACUUCG
rnacentral:rRNA from 1 species